rfam:Pelagibacteraceae bacterium BACL5 MAG-120820-bin39 contig01091.1_120820-bin39, whole genome shotgun sequence.
AUCUCAUCUACGGGAGAGACUACAAAAAUUUGUAGCGCCGAAGGAGCAACUACCCAGGAAUCUCUCAGGCAAAAGGACCGUAACAUAUUG